rnacentral:lncRNA from 1 species
AAAUGGAGAUGAAAAUGGAGAUGAAAAUGACGAAUCCAGUGACGACACAGACGAUACCUUAAUUACAAAUUUUAAAUCAAAAUAUAAUAACGAUAUUGACUUUUAUUUAGACUUAUGUACAUAUUUUUAUUUUGCAAAAAACAGAGAUGAUUUUUGUUAUCUCAUGAAAUUGGAUAAAAAGAAAACUUCGGAAUUACUUAAAUUAUCUAAUCAGUUAAUACAUAUAAUUAAUCUCAAACUUAACAAAAAUAUUACUUUUGAAAAUUUGGAAAAAAAACCAUCCUCUUUAUCAAAACAAAUAAUACAUUAUGCUAUUAUUCAAGGAUUUAUAGACCAUUUAGCAAUUCGUUAUGAUUUUAUACAUAACGAAUAUACUAGAAAUGUAGAAUGUAAAUAUAAUAAUAAAAAAGCAUAUUUUACUCAAAACAUGAACACACCUGUAUAUAUUAAUUCGACUUCCGCUCUAUAUCCAAAUAGGUACCAUACAUCUAUAUAACUCCAAUUAACAUUUUUUUAAUUAAAAAACAAAAGAUAAAAUGAUAAAGAUGUUUUUAUAACUUAUUGGAGGAAUACAGUAGUCGCACUUGUGCUGUUUACUAUAUAUUUGUUUGUUAUUAUAAACAUACAUGCGUGUGUACGUACAUACUUACAUACAUACAUACAUAACACACAUGCUAACACACACAUAUGUAACAUUCUUCUUUUCCUUGCAUUAUCUUCUUUAGGCCAUACCCAAAAUACAUUUUAUACAAUUAUAUUAUGAAGAAUAAAAACUCAUAUGUUAUGUUUGACUGUUUACAUAUAAACGAGUCGGACUUAGAAAAGAUAACAAAUGCUUGUAUAUUUACUAACACAUACGAAAAAAUUCCUCCACCUAAAUACAAUACUAAAAAGGAUAAAAUUGUUGUUUAUAUAAAACCUAUGUAUUUACCUUAUUCUCUGCAGUUAUCUAUAGCAGAAAAAGAGUUAAACGAAAAUGACGUUUUAUUUUAUAAUUAUCUUGCACUGUUCAUAUUAAAUGGAGCAAUGUUUCCAAAAAUGUGUACAUUCCAAAAACUAUAUUCUCACGACGCAAGUGAUGUAAUUAAUUGUACUCAACAAGAAAUUAAAAAUUUUAUAGCCGCUUUAAAACAAAACAGAAUAGUGAACAGGUCAACUUUAAUAAGUAAAUGGAAACAGAAUAACAAUUUUUUAAAAAAUGAAUUUAUUCCUUUAGUAGAAAACAAAAUUACGAAGUAUAAUCAAAAUGCUGUUCAUGAUUUAUGGCCACCUACGCAUGUUUCAUAACAAUACAUAAAUAUAAAAACUUUGAUAUAUAUCUAUACAUGUAUGUACAUGUAAUCCCAGUUACAUGCAACAAGUUCAAAAACGCGUUUAUAUAUAUCACAUAGUAGUGAUUAUUAUAAACCAUUUUUUAAAUUAUAAAAUAAAAAUAGUUUAUUUAUAUUUAUAUUACGAAAA